GUAGGGAUCUUCCACAAUGGACGAAAGUCUGAUGGAGCAACGCCGCGUGAGUGAAGAAGGUUUUCGGAUCGUAAAACUCUGUUGUUGGAGAAGAAUGUAUCUGAUAGUAACUGAUCAGGUAGUGACGGUAUCCAACCAGAAAGCCACGGCUAACUACGUGCCAGCAGCCGCGGUAAUACGUAGGUGGCAAGCGUUGUCCGGAUUUAUUGGGCGUAAAGCGAGCGCAGGCGGUUUCUUAAGUCUGAUGUGAAAGCCUUCGGCUCAACCGAAGAAGUGCAUCGGAAACUGGGAAACUUGAGUGCAGAAGAGGACAGUGGAACUCCAUGUGUAGCGGUGAAAUGCGUAGAUAUAUGGAAGAACACCAGUGGCGAAGGCGGCUGUCUGGUCUGUAACUGACGCUGAGGCUCGAAAGCAUGGGUAGCAAACAGGAUUAGAUACCCUGGUAGUCCAUGCCGUAAACGAUGAGUGCUAGGUGUUGGAGGGUUUCCGCCCUUCAGUGCCGCAGCUAACGCAUUAAGCACUCCGCCUGGGGAGUACGACCGCAAGGUUGAAACUCAAAGGAAUUGACGGGGCCCCCCCC
rnacentral:rRNA from 1 species